UACGUAGGCAGCGAGCGUUUGUUCGGAGUUACUGGGCGUAAAGGGUGUGUAGGCGGUUGUUUAAGUUUGGUGUGAAAUCUCCCGGCUCAACUGGGAGGGUGCGCCGAAUACUGAAUGACUUGGAGUGCGGGAGAGGAAAGUGGAAUUCCUGGUGUAGCGGUGAAAUGCGUAGGAUAUCAGGAGGAACACCGGUGGUGUAGACGGCUUUCUGGACCGUAACUGACGCUGAGACACGAAAGCGUGGGUAGCAAACAGG
rnacentral:rRNA from 1 species